rnacentral:rRNA from 1 species
UACAGAGGGGGCAAGCGUUGUUCGGAAUUACUGGGCGUAAAGGGCGCGUAGGCGGCCUUCUAAGUCGAACGUGAAAUCCCCGGGCUCAACCCGGGAACUGCGUCUGAUACUGGAUGGCUUGGAUCCGGGAGAGGGAUGCGGAAUUCCAGGUGUAGCGGUGAAAUGCGUAGAUAUCUGGAGGAACACCGGUGGCGAAGGCGGCCUUCUGGACGGAUACUGACGCUGAGACGCGAAAGCGUGGGGAGCAAACAGG